AAAGUAAGAGAAAUGUGAAUGAGAUAUGCUGUGUGUCUGUGGAGGGCAUGGAUGUGUUGUAGUUUUAUUGAAAAUGUUUUUAUUUUCUGCUAGUCGCUGCAUCGUUAUUGUCCAGCAGUUCAGCUGAAAGCAAAAGUGUAUUGCUACUGCUCAUCUUGACCACUUGUUCCACGUGAUUGUAAAUGACCAAUCAGAUGAGGAGAGUAAAGUUAGUGUAUAAGGGGAGAGGGGCUGUGGCAUCAGUGUGUGAAUGUGGGACUGUGAAGCUGCAAACACCCUUGGUGUGUGUGAGAGAGAGAAAGAGGGAGACUGCAAAGGCACCUGUCAGCAAGAAUGUGGAUGAUUGUGUUUUUCCUGUGCUGGGUGGUCAGAAUCGAAGCAGGAAAUGUCUCUCUGCUAAUAUCAGACCUGAGUGAGGAGGACCAGGGAAUCUAUAUCUGUGUUGUUGACACCUACUAUAACACAUAUUUUAACCUCCUGGUCAUAGCAAACAGAUUGACAACUAAAUCAUC
ensembl:lncRNA